rnacentral:pre_miRNA from 2 species
GAUUUCAAAUGGAAAAGUCAUAAACAGCAAAGUUGUACAACUCAUCAAGAUCUACAACUUUUGUUUUGGUCAUUUUUUCAUCCGACAAAGUGAUAGUAAUAUUAUUCACAAAAAUCACAUUUCUCUCAUCUGGUUUAUGAACAUCAAUACUGAUGUGUCAAUUUUCUAAACAGUGUUACUAUCAGAUGAAGUAGUGACCAAAACAAAAGUGAUAGAUCUUGAUGAGUUGUACAACUUUGUUGUUUAUGAAUUUUCCAUUUUAAAUC